CUCUAAGCAAAGGGGCCAGGUGCAUGAGCGAGAUGGCCGGAGUAGUAGCUCCGAACAGUUCUGGCCUCCCCUCCCUUCUGGUUCAUUGAGGCAGCUUACUGAACUUCAAGCUACCAUGCUCUCAAAACUACAAUAAAAUGCAAUAAAAUGACCCACGGAGAGGCUGCAGAGAUGGCUCAGCGGUUAGGAGCACUGACUGCUCUUCCAGAGGUCCUGAGUUCAAUUCCCAGCAACCACAUGGUGGCUCGUGACCACCUAUCUAUCUAUAAAGGGAUCUGAUGCCCUCUUCUGGUGUGUCUAAAGACAGC
rnacentral:lncRNA from 1 species